CAGUAGCCGCGGUAAUACGAAGGGUGCAAGCGUUACUCGGAAUUACUGGGCGUAAAGCGCACGCAGGCGGUUUGUUAAGUCAGAUGUGAAAUCCCCGAGCUUAACUUGGGAACUGCAUUUGAAACUGGCAAGCUAGAGUCUUGUAGAGGGGGGUAGAAUUCCAGGUGUAGCGGUGAAAUGCGUAGAGAUCUGGAGGAAUACCGGUGGCGAAGGCGGCCCCCUGGACAAAGACUGACGCUCAGGUGCGAAAGCGUGGGGAGCAAACAGGAUUAGAUACCCCGGUAGUCCCUGUCUCUUAUAC
rnacentral:rRNA from 1 species